UUCCACAAUGGACGAAAGUCUGAUGGAGCAACGCCGCGUGAACGAUGAAGGCCUUCGGGUCGUAAAGUUCUGUUGUAAGGGGAAGAACAAGUGCCGCAGGCAAUGGCGGCACCUUGACGGUACCUUGCGAGAAAGCCACGGCUAACUACGUGCCAGCAGCCGCGGUAAUACGUAGGUGGCAAGCGUUGUCCGGAAUUAUUGGGCGUAAAGCGCGCGCAGGCGGCCUCUUAAGUCUGAUGUGAAAGCCCCGGCUCAACCGGGGAGGGCCAUUGGAAACUGGGAGGCUUGAGUAUAGGAGAGAAGAGUGGAAUUCCACGUGUAGCGGUGAAAUGCGUAGAGAUGUGGAGGAACACCAGUGGCGAAGGCGACUCUUUGGCCUAUAACUGACGCUGAGGCGCGAAAGCGUGGGGAGCAAACAGGAUUAGAUACCCUGGUAG
rnacentral:rRNA from 1 species